UUACGACCAUAUCAGGUUGAGACACCUUUUCUCGUACAAUCACCGAAAUUAAGUAACGUUGAGCCUGAUUAGUAGCUUGAUGGGUGACCGUUUGGGAAUACCAGGUGCUGUAAG